rnacentral:rRNA from 1 species
AACGAACGCUGGCGGCAGGCUUAACACAUGCAAGUCGAACGCCCCGCAAGGGGAGUGGCAGACGGGUGAGUAACGCGUGGGAAUCUACCCAGUUCUACGGAACAACUGAGGGAAACUUCAGCUAAUACCGUAUACGCCCUACGGGGGAAAGAUUUAUCGGAAUUGGAUGAGCCCGCGUUGGAUUAGCUAGUUGGUGGGGUAAUGGCCUACCAAGGCGACGAUCCAUAGCUGGUCUGAGAGGAUGAUCAGCCACACUGGGACUGAGGCACGGCCCAGACUCCUACGGGAGGCAGCAGUGGGGAAUAUUGGACAAUGGGCGAAAGCCUGAUCCAGCCAUGCCGCGUGAGUGAUGAAGGCCUUAGGGUUGUAAAGCUCUUUCAGUGGGGAAGAUAAUGACGGUACCCACAGAAGAAGCCCCGGCUAACUUCGUGCCAGCCGCCGCGGUAAAAC